rnacentral:rRNA from 1 species
CACGGUGGAUGCCCUGGCAGUCAGAGGCGAUGAAGGGCGUGCUAAUCUGCGAUAAGCGCCGGUAAGGUGAUAUGAACCGUUAUAACCGGCGAUACCCGAAUGGGGAAACCCAGUGUGACUCGUCACACUAUCAUUAACUGAAUCCAUAGGUUAAUGAGGCGAACCGGGGGAACUGAAACAUCUAAGUACCCCGAGGAAAAGAAAUCAACCGAGAUUCCCCCAGUAGCGGCGAGCGAACGGGGAGGAGCCCAGAGCCUGAAUCAGCAUGUGUGUUAGUGGAAGCGUCUGGAAAGGCGCGCGAUACAGGGUGACAGCCCCGUACACAAAAGCGCAUGUGCUGUGAGCUCGAUGAGUAGGGCGGGACACGUGGUAUCCUGUCUGAAUAUGGGGGGACCAUCCUCCAAGGCUAAAUACUCCUGACUGACCGAUAGUGAACCAGUACCGUGAGGGAAAGGCGAAAAGAACCCCGGCGAGGGGAGUGAAAAAGAACCUGAAACCGUGUACGUACAAGCAGUGGGAGCACCCUUUGGGUGUGACUGCGUACCUUUUGUAUAAUGGGUCAGCGACUUAUAUUCUGUAGCAAGGUUAACCGAAUAGGGGAGCCGGAGGGAAACCGAGUCUUAAC